GGGGUGACUCAAAGGUGUCUGUGAUAUGUAACAAUUGGAGGCUGAGUAGGCAUCUUUCUCUCCUCUCCAGGUGGCCUCUCGCUGCAUAAUAUUUCAUUGUAUGGAUAAACUACACAGUUCCCAGUGAUGAAGACCAAGAUUGUUCCCAAUCUGUUUGCUAUUAUAAACAGUGUUGCAACAAA